CCUACGGGUGGCUGCAGUGGGGGAUAUUGCACAAUGGGGGGAACCCUGAUGCAGCGACGCCGCGUGGGUGAAGGAGUGCUUCGGCAUGUAAAGCCCUAUCGGCAGGGAAGAAGCAAGACGGUACCUGACUAAGAAGCCCCGGCUAACUACGUGCCAGCAGCCGCGGUAAUACGUAGGGGGCGAGCGUUAUCCGGAUUGAUUGGGUUUAAAGGGUGCGUAGGCGGUCCGGAAAGUCAGCGGUAAAAGCCCGGGGCUCAACCCCGGCGAGCCGUUGAAAAUGUCGGACUAGAGACGGCGAGAAGUACGCGGAAUGCGCGGUGUAGCGGUGAAAUGCAUAGAUAUCGCGCAGAACUCCGAUUGCGAAGGCAGCGUACCGGCGCCGGACUGACGCUGAGGCACGAAAGCGUGGGUAUCGAACAGGAUUAGAUACCCGUGUAGUC
rnacentral:rRNA from 1 species